UGGUGGAGUGAUUUGUCUGCUUAAUUGCGAUAACGAACGAGACCUUAACCUGCUAAAUAGCCAGGCUAGCUUUGGCUGGUCGCCGGCUUCUUAGAGGGACUAUGGCCGUUUAGGCCACGGAAGUUUGAGGCAAUAACA
rnacentral:rRNA from 1 species